AUUUGUUGUCUUUCCCUGCUUGACAACAGUGUAUUUUCGAUAUUUAACAGGAAAGAUAAAGAUGUUACUUGAGAAAGCAUUGUGGAUUUUAGCAUUCACUUUUGUGUCACUAACCAGUGAAGUGUAUGGUUUAGAAUGGCCAUGGAAUUGGACAAAAGAAGAUGUCACAUGCUACAGCACUUGUUUGGCAGCAGUUGGUACAGG